rnacentral:misc_RNA from 1 species
CAGAAUUACCAAUAUACUCUGUAUAUCUACACACACCUGUGCACCCGAGGCGGAUCCCCCUAUUUGUGGGGAACUGCUCCUCUUUCACACACCACGUUGAUUGUCCUAGAAUGUCUUUUACUUUGCGUCUAACGCAAAAGAAACAUAA